CCUACAGGAGACAGCAGUGAGGAAUAUUGGUCAAUGGGCGGAAGCCUGAACCAGCCAAGUAGCGUGCAGGAUGACGGCCCUACGGGUUGUAAACUGCUUUUAUACGGGAAUAACGCGCCUUACGUGUAGGGCUUUGCAUGUACCGUAUGAAUAAGGACCGGCUAAUUCCGUGCCAGGAGCCGCGGUAAUACGGAAGGUCCGGGCGUUAUCGGGAUUUAUUGGGUUUAAAGGGAGCGUAGGCCGCAUGUCAAGCGUGCUGUGAAAUGUCCGGGCUCAACCCGGGCCUUGCAGCGCGAACUGGCGUGCUUGAGUCCGCGGAAAGCAGGCGGAAUUCGUCGGGUAGCGGUGAAAUGCUUAGAUAUGACGAAGAACCCCGAUUGCGAAGGCAGCUUGCUGCAGCGGAACUGACGCUGAUGCUCGAAAGCGCGGGUAUCGAACAGGAUUAGAUACCCGAGUAGUC
rnacentral:rRNA from 1 species